rnacentral:tRNA from 1 species
GUGGAAAUGUAAUAACGUCGCAUUCGUAAUGCGAAGGUCGUAGGUUCGACUCCUAUUAUCGGCA